UACGUAGGGGGCUAGCGUUGUCCGGAAUCAUUGGGCGUAAAGCGCGCGUAGGCGGCCCGGUAAGUCCGCUGUAAAAGUCAAAGGCUCAACCUUUGAAUGUCAGUGGAUACUGCCGGGCUAGAGUCCGGAAGAGGCGAGUGGAACUCCUGGUGUAGCGGUGAAAUGCGCAGAUAUCGGGAGGAACACCAAUGGCGAAGGCAGCUCGCUGGGACGUUACUGACGCUGAGACGCGAAAGCGUGGGGAGCAAACAGG
rnacentral:rRNA from 1 species